rnacentral:rRNA from 1 species
CAGUGGCUGUCGUCAGCGUCGUGUCGUGAGAUGGUUAGGGUUAACGUCCCGCACGAGCGCAACCCUUGUCAUUAGUUGCUACAUUCAGUUGGGCACUCUAAUGAGACUGCCGGUGACAAGCCGGAGGAAGGUGGGGAUGACGUCAAGUCCUCAUGGCCCUUAUAGGUGGGGCUACACACGUCAUACAAUGGCUGGUACAAAGGGUUGCCAACCCGCGAGGGGGAGCUAAUCCCAUAAAGCCAGUCGUAGUCCGGAUCGUAGUCUGCAACUCGACUACGUGAAGUCGGAAUCGCUAGUAAUCGUGGAUCAGAAUGUCACGGUGAAUACGUUCCCGGGUCUU